rnacentral:rRNA from 1 species
CCUACGGGGGGCUGCAGUGGGGGAUAUUGCACAAUGGGGGAAACCCUGAUGCAGCGACGCCGCGUGGGCGAAGAAGUAUUUCGGUAUGUAAAGCCCUAUCAGCAGGGAAGAAGAAAUGACGGUACCUGAGUAAGAAGCACCGGCUAAAUACGUGCCAGCAGCCGCGGUAAUACGUAUGGUGCAAGCGUUAUCCGGAUUUACUGGGUGUAAAGGGAGCGCAGGCGGCACGGCAAGCCUGAUGUGAAAGCCCGCGGCCAAACCGCGGGACUGCAUUGGGAACUACCGGGCUGGAGUGCCGGAGAGGUAGGCGGAAUUCCUAGUGUAGCGGUGAAAUGCGUAGAGAUUAGGAGGAACACCAGUGGCGAAGGCGGCUUACUGGACUGUAACUGACGUUGAGGCUCGAAAGCGUGGGGAGCAAACAGGAUUAGAUACCCGGGUAGUC